GCUGUUUGAUUCAUGUCCGGAGGAAGUUGGGGGGCCCGAUUCUCGGCCUUCAAAACUUCCUUCGCGCGUGGAGGGUGGCAAGGUGCGCGUCUCGGGGAGGCCAGGUGGGUCCUCCCUCUCCAGCCACGGCCGGGCGAGCGGAAGCCGGUUCCUCACGCCGCAGGUUUCGGCGGGGCUCCUCGCCCAGGGAUGACAGCCCGCAGCCCGGUGCUGAGGAAGGAGAAGCUGCGGCUGGGACCCCGGAGGGAGCCCGGGCGGCAGCAGCGGCUUCCAGGGCGCUCUGCCCAGCGCUGCCUUCCUGGGAAACAGUCCAGACUCUCAGGACCAGAAGCCCGAGCAAAUCGGAAAGGAGCUCCGAGGAGGGGCCAAGGAGUCAUGAUCUAAUUAGUCAGCUUUCGGAUAGAGGUGGAAAACUGACCCUUGGGAACUAAGAAAAACAAAUCAAGAAAGAGCAACUGCUCCGUGAAGACUGCAUUGCAACAUUCUAGAAUUACAAGUCUGAGUGGUGGACCAGCAGCACAUUAGAAUACAGCCUUGGAGUUUAGCUAAAUGUUUUUUUCUAGAUUCCUGCAGGUAGAGAUGGCAGAGUUUGAAUAUUCUGGGUGGAAAAUCAAACCACACAACUCGGUUUCUGUUUCCAGAUCGCUCAUCCUUCGGUUCAUCAUCUGUAAAGUGAAGGAAGAUAUUGGCUUCCCCGGUGAGAACCGGAGCUGCGGUUCCUCCUCAGUCACGUUGGGGAACAGCACGUCCCCAUGGGUGCCCCUUUAGAGUAAAAAGGAGAUUUCCUUCUCAGGGGUCUGCCGAUGCUCACUGUCAUCUCCCUAGAUACCGCUGCUCUAUUGCACUCUCUUCUGACAGUAAAAUUCACAGUGUGAGGCAUCCUAAGAGUGUGGCACUGAGGAGUUACCACCCUCACGCUACUCUACUCUCAGCCUCCAGCAAUUCAUCACAAUUACCCCUGAAGUGUUCCUCCUGGUUUAUCUCCAGCGGCUUCUGCUCUGGCCAUGGCUGACCUCCAACUACAGGAAGUGACUGUGAUGAGGCCCAGCUGUCAUGCUUUGGAAUCCAUCACGGUGUGUGCCGAGGUCGCGCCUCCCUCCUCCCGGCCAGUAAUGGAGUGUGGCAGGCUGGUAACAAAGGCCUGCUCUUAGGAGAUGUGGGAGCUCCCUGAUGGCCAACUUUCAUUCAAGGACUGCCUGCAGAAAGAGUAUUCCGUGGGCCACACAGUGACUCAGAGAUCCAGCCAGUCUUCACUUGGCAGCUCUGUCAUCUCAACGUGUGGCUUCCAUCACCACAGCUGGAAAACCAAAAGCCAGAGAUUCAGCUUCAAGACCAUUUUCUCAUGUUCUAAAAGUUCAAAAGCAAGCACUCAGGAGAGAGUUGGCUAUGCGUUCCUGCCUUGGGUUUUCUAAGACUAACCACCUGGUGAAUUCCGCAAUCCUGUUAAAUGAUGCUCCUGAACCGAGGAGGACACAGGCAAGCCAAAGGCAGAAUGACUGUCUCCAUGAGUGAUGAGAGAGCUGCAGACCUGAUAGGCAGAUAGAGCAUUAUUAAUAGACCAGGGGUUGGUGCUGGCUAUCACCUGAGCUGCCCAGGCUCUUCUUGUGUGGCAUAAGGGACUUUCUGCCAUCAUUUGGAUUUGGAACGGUGGACGAACAUCUCCAGUAACACUGUCCAGACAAUAUAUAAAGUUGAAAAUUUACCAAAUACAGCAUAUUUAAAGGAGCUUUAUCUUUCAAAACAAUAUGCAUACAUUUUAAAGGCAAAUAAAUGAAUAUAAUACCAGUAAUUAUUGUUGAAUUAUCCUCUGUUUACUUGAGAUGGAAAUAAA
rnacentral:lncRNA from 1 species